UCGAGGGGCAGCAUGGUCUUAGCUUGCUAAGGCCGAUGGCGACCGGCGCACGGGUGAGUAACACGUAUCCAACCUGCCGUCUACUCUUGGACAGCCUUCUGAAAGGAAGAUUAAUACAAGAUGGCAUCAUGAGUCCGCAUGUUCACAUGAUUAAAGGUAUUCCGGUAGACGAUGGGGAUGCGUUCCAUUAGAUAGUAGGCGGGGUAACGGCCCACCUAGUCUUCGAUGGAUAGGGGUUCUGAGAGGAAGGUCCCCCACAUUGGAACUGAGACACGGUCCAAACUCCUACGGGAGGCAGCAGUGAGGAAUAUUGGUCAAUGGGCGAGAGCCUGAACCAGCCAAGUAGCGUGAAGGAUGACUGCCCUAUGGGUUGUAAACUUCUUUUAUAAAGGAAUAAAGUCGGGUAUGGAUACCCGUUUGCAUGUACUUUAUGAAUAAGGAUCGGCUAACUCCGUGCCAGCAGCCGCGGUAAUACGGAGGAUUCGAGCGUUAUCCGGAUUUAUUGGGUUUAAAGGGAGCGUAGAUGGAUGUUUAAGUCAGUUGUGAAAGUUUGCGGCUCAACCGUAAAAUUGCAGUUGAUACUGGAUAUCUUGAGUGCAGUUGAGGCAGGCGGAAUUCGUGGUGUAGCGGUGAAAUGCUUAGAUAUCACGAAGAACUCCGAUUGCGAAGGCAGCCUGCUAAGCUGCAACUGACAUUGAGGCUCGAAAGUGUGGGUAUCAAACAGGAUUAGAUACCCUGGUAGUCCACACGGUAAACGAUGAAUACUCGCUGUUUGC
rnacentral:rRNA from 1 species